CGAGGGGCAGCGGGUAGAUGAGUUUGCUCAUUUAUGCCGGCGACCGGCGCACGGGUGAGUAACACGUAUGCAACCUGCCCGUCUCAGGGGGAUAAUCGUCGGAAACGGCGUCUAAUACCCCGUAUGAAGUUGGACGGCAUCGUCUGGUUUUGAAAGAAUAUCGGAGACGGAUGGGCAUGCGGCGCAUUAGCUAGUUGGCGGGGUAACGGCCCACCAAGGCGACGAUGCGUAGGGGUUCUGAGAGGAAGGUCCCCCACACUGGUACUGAGACACGGACCAGACUCCUACGGGAGGCAGCAGUGAGGAAUAUUGGUCAAUGGGCGAGAGCCUGAACCAGCCAAGUCGCGUGAGGGAGUACUGCCCUAUGGGUUGUAAACCUCUUUUGUCGGGGAGCAAAAGCCGGACGUGUCCGUCUGUGAGAGUACCCGAAGAAAAAGCAUCGGCUAACUCCGUGCCAGCAGCCGCGGUAAUACGGAGGAUGCGAGCGUUAUCCGGAUUUAUUGGGUUUAAAGGGUGCGCAGGCGGAUUUUUAAGUCAGCGGUCAAAUCGUGGGGCUCAACCCCAUCCAGCCGUUGAAACUGGGGAUUUAGAGUGUGCGAGAGGUAUGCGGAAUGCGUGGUGUAGCGGUGAAAUGCAUAG
rnacentral:rRNA from 1 species